GUGUAGCUCAGUCGGUAGAGUGCUUGCUUAACAUUCAGGAAGCCCUAGAUUCAAUCCCUAGCAC
rnacentral:tRNA from 1 species